rnacentral:tRNA from 1 species
UCCCUAAUGGUCCAGUGGUUAAGACUCUAUGCUCCCAGUGCAGGGGCCUGGGUUCAAUCCCUGGUAGGGGAA